rnacentral:rRNA from 1 species
CUGGAAUCGCUAGUAAUCGCGGAUCAGAAUGCCGCGGUGAAUACGUUCCCGGGUCUUGUACACACCGCCCGUCACACCAUGGGAGUCGGAAAUGCCCGAAGUCUGUGACCCAACCUACGGGAGGGAGCAGCCGAAGGCAGGUCGGAUGACUGGGGUGAAGUCGUAACAAGGUAAC